AGCUUCGGAGCCCCCCAAACCUCCUGAGGAGCCAGAAGAGGAGCGGCCCCGGCCCCGCCCCAUGGUGUCCCAGCUGGCUCCCCCCAAAAUCCCCGAGGGGGAACGCGUGGAUUUCGAUG